UACGCCCGAUCUCGUCCGAUCUCGGAAGCCAAGCAGGGUAGGGCCUGGUUAGUACUUGGAUGGGAGACCGCCUGGGAAUACCAUGUGCUGUAAGCUU
rnacentral:rRNA from 1 species